UGCGGGGGGAGCAAGCGUUGUUCGGAUUUACUGGGCGUAAAGGGCGCGUAGGCGGCCAGCACAAGUCAGUUGUGAAAUCUCCGAGCUUAACUCGGAACGGUCAACUGAUACUGUGCGGCUAGAGUGCGGAAGGGGCAACUGGAAUUCUUGGUGUAGCGGUGAAAUGCGUAGAUAUCAAGAGGAACACCUGCGGCGAAGGCGGGUUGCUGGGCCGACACUGACGCUGAUGCGCGAAAGCCAGGGGAGCGAACGGG
rnacentral:rRNA from 1 species